rnacentral:rRNA from 1 species
GACGUAGGAUGCAAGCGUUGUCCGGAUUUAUUGGGCGUAAAGAGUUCGUAGGUGGUUCGUUAAGUCUGAUGUUAAAGACCGGGGCUCAACUUCGGGACUGCAUUGGAUACUGGCGGACUUGAGUGUGGUAGAGGCAAUCGGAAUUCCAGGUGUAGCGGUGAAAUGCGUAGAUAUCUGGAAGAACACCGGUGGCGCAAGCGGAUUGCUGGGCCAUAACUGACACUGAGGAACGAAGGCCAGGGGAGCAAACGGG